UCAGCGCCAUCACUGUUACACAUCAUUUGCUCUAAAAGCAUCACUAGGGAUUUAAUUUCAAAUCCACCUGCCUGCGGAUAAAACACUCCCUGAAUGACCGACGAGAAAUGGCUCCGAGCUCAUCUGCCUGGCUUUGUCUUUCCUGGAUGGGGUCACCUGUGAAGCUACUGAUGUUGCUAAGAGAAGUGAGAGAGGAGGGAAGGAAAAAGAGAAGAGAGGAGAAAAUCGAUCUCCAGCAGAUAAAAAGUUCCUGAAAGCUCCUGGAUCCAGUUGAAUAAAUCCAAAG